UGAGGAGCGAAAGCGUGGGGAGCGAACAGGAUUAGAUACCCUGGUAGUCCACGCCGUAAACGAUGAGUGCUAAGUGUUAGGGGGUUUCCGCCCCUUAGUGCUGCAGCUAACGCAUUAAGCACUCCGCCUGGGGAGUACGGUCGCAAGACUGAAACUCAAAGGAAUUGACGGGGGCCCGCACAAGCGGUGGAGCAUGUGGUUUAAUUCGAAGCAACGCGAAGAACCUUACCAGGUCUUGACAUCCUCUGACAAUCCUAGAGAUAGGACGUCCCCUUCGGGGGCAGAGUGACAGGUGGUGCAUGGUUGUCGUCAGCUCGUGUCGUGAGAUGUUGGGUUAAGUCCCGCAACGAGCGCAACCCUUGAUCUUAGUUGCCAGCAUUCAGUUGGGCACUCUAAGGUGACUGCCGGUGACAAACCGGAGGAAGGUGGGGAUGACGUCAAAUCAUCAUGCCCCUUAUGACCUGGGCUACACACGUGCUACAAUGGNCAGAACAAAGGGCAGCGAAACCGCGAGGUUAAGCCAAUCCCACAAAUCUGUUCUCAGUUCGGAUCGCAGUCUGCAACUCGACUGCGUGAAGCUGGAAUCGCUAGUAAUCGCGGA
rnacentral:rRNA from 1 species